rnacentral:rRNA from 1 species
CCUACGGGUGGCUGCAGUGGGGAAUAUUGGACAAUGGGCGAAAGCCUGAUCCAGCCAUGCCGCGUGUGUGAAGAAGGCCUUCGGGUUGUAAAGCACUUUCAGAGGGGAAGAAAGCCUUGGGGCUAAUACCCUCGAGGAAGGACAUCACCCACAGAAGAAGCACCGGCUAACUCCGUGCCAGCAGCCGCGGUAAUACGGAGGGUGCGAGCGUUAAUCGGAAUUACUGGGCGUAAAGCGCGCGUAGGCGGUCUGAUAAGCCGGUUGUGAAAGCCCCGGGCUCAACCUGGGAACGGCAUCCGGGACUGUCAGGCUAGAGUGCAGGAGAGGAAGGUAGAAUUCCCGGUGUAGCGGUGAAAUGCGUAGAGAUCGGGAGGAAUACCAGUGGCGAAGGCGGCCUUCUGGACUGACACUGACGCUGAGGUGCGAAAGCGUGGGUAGCAAACAGGAUUAGAUACCCAGGUAGUC